ACGGGAGGCAGCAGUGAGGAAUAUUGGUCAAUGGGCGGAAGCCUGAACCAGCCAAGUCGCGUGAAGGAUGAAGGUAUUAUGUAUUGUAAACUUCUUUAGACGUAGAGAAAUAAGAGGCUCGUGAGCCUUGAUGCUAGUAUACGUAGAAUAAGGAUCGGCUAACUCCGUGCCAGCAGCCGCGGUAAUACGGAGGAUCCGAGCGUUAUCCGGAUUUAUUGGGUUUAAAGGGUGCGCAGGCGGUUUUCUAAGUCAGUGGUAAAAUCGCGGAGCUCAACUCCGUCCCGCCAUUGAUACUGGGAGACUUGAUUGCGGUCGAGGUUGGCGGAAUUCGUCGUGUAGCGGUGAAAUGCAUAGAUAUGACGAAGAACACCGAUUGCGUAGGCAGCUGACCAGGCCGUAAAUGACGCUCAUGCACGAAAGUGCGGGGAUCGAACAGGAUUAGAUACCCUGGUA
rnacentral:rRNA from 1 species